UGUGGUGAAGAUAUCAGAGUGGAAAUACCUGUUCCCAUCCCGAACACAGAAGUCAAGCACUCUAGAGCCGACGAUAGUUUAAAAUAAAAUAGGUCAUCGCCACGC
rfam:Treaplasma diversum strain ATCC 49782 genome.